UAGUCCACGCCGUAAACGAUGGGUACUAGCCGUUGGGAGAGUCUGUCUCUUAGUGGCGCAGCUAGCGCGAUAAGUACCCCGCCUGGGGAGUACGGCCGCAAGGUUAAAACUCAAAGGAAUUGACGGGGGACCGCACAAGCGGUGGAGCAUGUGGUUUAAUUCGAUGCAACGCGAAAAACCUUACCUGCCCUUGACAUCCUCGGAAUCCCUCAGAGAUGAGGGAGUGCCUUCGGGAGCCGAGUGACAGGUGCUGCAUGGCUGUCGUCAGCUCGUGUCGUGAGAUGUUGGGUUAAGUCCCGUAACGAGCGCAACCCUUGUCCUUAGUUGCCAGCACUUAGUUGGGGACUCUAAGGAGACUGCCGGUGACAAACCGGAGGAAGGCGGGGACGACGGUCAAGGUCAUCAUGGCCCUUAUGGGGCAGGGGCUACACACGUGCUAC
rnacentral:rRNA from 1 species